rnacentral:misc_RNA from 1 species
GAUGAAGAACGUAGCGAAAUGCGAUAAGUAAUGUGAAUUGCAGAAUUCAGUGAAUCAUCGAAUCUUUGAACGCACAUUGCGCCCCUUGGCAUUCCGAGGGGCAUGCCUGUUCGAGCGUCAUUAUAACCCCUCAAGCUCAGCUUGGUGUUGGGGCCUGCUGCACUGGCAGCCCUUAAAAUCAGUGGCGGCGCCAUCUGGCUCUAAGCGUAGUAAUUCUUCUCGCUAUGGAGUCCUGGUGGAUGCUUGCCAUCAACCCCCAAUUUUUCUAUGGUUGACCUCGGAUCAGGUAGGGAUACCCGCUGAACUUAAGCAUAUCAAUAAGCGGAGGA